rnacentral:lncRNA from 1 species
GAGACAGACAAAUCUCACCCUCCCCUCCCAAGGCUCACAGCAGAAACCUGUUCUCCGGUACCGAAAAUACAGCAGUACUCGUGUCUGAACAGUAACCAGACUGAAGAAGUCACGCGGCAACUGUGGCACGAGGACAGCGACCCCCAGGGCCUCCCACUUCCACCCAGGACUCGUAUCCUGCAGCCCCGCGUCUCGCCUGCCUGCCGGGGGCCGUCCUCUGUGCCCCAGGGCCUCCCACUUCCACCCAGGACUCGUAUCCUGCAGCCCCGCGUCUCGCCUGCCUGCCGGGGGCUGUCCUCUGUGCCCCCAGGGCCUCCCACUUCCACCCAGGACUCGUAUCCUGCAGCCCCGCGUCUCGCCUGCCUGCCGGGGACUGUCCUCUGUGCCCCAGGGCCUCCCACUUCCACCCAGGACUCGUAUCCUGCAGCCCCGCGUCUCGCCUGCCUGCCGGGGGCUGUUCUCUGUGCCCCAGGGCCUCCCACUUCCACCCAGGACUCGUAUCCUGCAGCCCCGCGUCUCGCCUGCCUGCCGGGGACUGUCCUCUGUGCCCCAGGGCCUCCCACUUCCACCCAGGACUGGUAUCCUGCAGCCCCGCGUCUCGCCUGCCUGCCGGGGGCUGUCCUCUGUGCCCCAGGGCCUCCCACUUCCACCCAGGACUCGUAUCCUGCAGCCCCGCGUCUCGCCUGCCUGUCGGGGGCCGUCCUCUGUGCCCCAGGGCCUCCCACUUCCACCCAGGACUCGUAUCCUGCAGCCCCGCGUCUCGCCUGCCUGCCGGGGACUGUCCUCUGUGCCCCAGGGCCUCCCACUUCCACCCAGGACUCGUAUCCUGCAGCCCCGCGUCUCGCCUGCCUGCUGGGGGCUGUUCUCUGUGCCCCAGGGCCUCCCACUUCCACCCAGGACUCGUAUCCUGCAGCCCCGCGUCGCGCCUGCCUGCCGGGGGCCGUCCUCUGUGCCCCAGGGCCUCCCACUUCCACCCAGGACUCGUAUCCUGCAGCCCCGCGUCGCGCCUGCCUGCUGGGGGCUGUUCUCUGUGCCCCAGGGCCUCCCACUUCCACCCAGGACUCGUAUCCUGCAGCCCCGCGUCGCGCCUGCCUGCCGGGGGCCGUCCUCUGUGCCCCAGGGCCUCCCACUUCCACCCAGGACUCGUAUCCUGCAGCCCCGCGUCUCGCCUGCCUGCCGGGGGCUGUCCUCUGUGCCCCAGGGCCUCCCACUUCCACCCAGGACUCGUAUCCUGCAGCCCCGCGUCGCGCCUGCCUGCCGGGGGCUGUCCUCUUUGCCGGCCCCCUCGUCCCCCUCGUCCCACACACCCCACAGACUCGGCCCUCGAGGACCGGCAGCGACCCCUGCUCCCGGCCUGAGGAGCCCGGCCGCGUGUUUCCCGGACCCCUGAGGGCACAGAUGGCACUCCCACCGCCCCACAGGCAAGGCCGGUGUCCUCGCCCAGAGAGGAGGCUCCCUCCAAGGGGCACCCUCGAGCCCCGAGCCAGGCUCGGAGGGGCCCAGAAGGGCAGUCUGCAAGGACGGACCCGGGACUCCGACCUGGAAAUGGCGGGCGCGGCACCAAGGCCAGGCCGUCGAGAGUGA